UACGUAGGUGGCGAGCGUUACUCGGAAUCACUAGGCGUAAAGCGCGGGUAGGCGGCCUGACAAGUCCAUCGUGAAAGCUCCUGGCUUAACCGGGAGAGGUCGGUGGAAACUAUCGGGCUUGAGUGUGGGAGGGGGUACUGGAAUUCCCGGUGUAGCGGUGAAAUGCGUAGAGAUCGGGAGGAACACCAAUGGCGAAAGCAGGUACCUGGACCAAUACUGACGCUCAGCCGCGAAAGCUAGGGGAGCAAACAGG
rnacentral:rRNA from 1 species